CCCCGGCCGCUCCUUUGUCCCGCCGCGGUACUGCGUGCUACGUCGGCGGCUUCGGUGGUGGUGCUUCGACGAGCGGCACGAGCUGUUCGGUGCCGCCUUGAACAUGCGGAAGCGGACGCAGUGCGAGCGGAGGUAGUGGUGGUAGGAGUGCCCGAUGUCAUGCACUCUAUGAGUCAUCACAUCGUGUUAGAUGUAGCAGCGGUAGCAGGUACCGAGCAUAGCAUACGAGACCGCGCACUAGCACACGCAGGGGACGUGACGUCUAGAGCGGAACUACUCGCCGCGCCUCGAGAAGUAGGCGCUCCUGGACCCGGAGUGGCUGUGCGUCCAGCUCGACGAGCGCCCCAGGUACUUGCACAAGUACGAGCACAGGUAGGAUAAGAGGCCGACCUGCCGGCUGGAGGACCCGGCGGCGCAGUGCGAACACCAGCGGUUGCGGAAGGAGUACCGGCCGCGCGAGCGGUACAGGGAGCCGCCGUCGAUGCGCCGCGAGCACCGACGUGCGAAGCAGUGGUCGUAGCCGUACCCCGAGCGGGAGCAGCAGCGCGGCCAGAUGUUGCGGCUCUAGAGCGGCGGCAGGUGCGCGCCGCACGAGAGCAGCGACGAGCUGUAAAAAUAGUUGCAGCCGUAGGAAGAACCGAUGUGCAGAUUGAUGCGGAACCGGCCUGACGGCCACGUGGAGCGGACCGCGUAGUACAUACGGUAGCCCCACGAGGGCGGGCACGAGGAUCGGCACCCUCACGAGCGGUACGGCCUCAGCGGAGCUACCGAGCGGUACGCGCCUGCGGUGCGGCUGCGCGCGCGCCACGAGAACGCGUGGAGGCUGUGGCGGCGCCUCCGGCUGGAGGCGGAUCUCCUGUAGUUGGCCCGGGAACUACGCGGUGUCCGACGACCGAGGCACACCGUCCUCGACUAGCAGGCCGGCAGCCGCUGUCAGUCCGCUUAGGAGCAGACGCAACAGCCCGACGUGAAGAAGGUCCUCCGCAGGCCGUAGCUGCGGCAGCAAGACAUGUCGGGCGAGCACAAAUUCUUCCGGCCGUACAGGUGCUUAUCGAGGCAUGACCCGCGGUGGCACCGGCAGCCCCAGCAGUUCUGCACGAAGUAGAAGCACCGGUACGAGGACCAGCUGGCGCAGCCGGCCGCGGGCGAGGACGACCGGUCGCGGCCGCCGCAGCGUCACAGGAAGUGGCGAGACCGCGAGUGCGACACGCAGGCGCUCUGCAGCAGCCGCUCGCGCCGGCACACGCACCGCAGGCACUACCGCAAGCACCGCCGCAAGAGCUAGCCCAAGCCCGGCGAGCGCAGGUGCAUGCGGCGCCUCUAGAACGGCGACGCCGACGCCCGUGUCCCGCGCUCGGAGCCGUACCGCCACUUGGCCGACUGCACGCCCCGCCACUCGUACAGCAAGUAUAGCGAGCGGCCCACCUAUUGCUACGGACCCACGAAGAAGGAAAUGCGGCCGCACCGCCGCUGCCGCACGCACAAGCACGUGUACACCGACGGCCUCUGCUCCCCGGCCUCGAACCUCCUAUACCUACAGGAGAAGCGGUUUACUGUCCGCGCAGGUAAGUGAGGUAACAUGAUCUUUCGACUUUUUGACCCCGCCUGUUAUAUGGUCCGGGAGUAUCUUUUGUUUUUACGAUCUGUACGUUUCUAAACAUUUUUGGACAUUUGACAAAAAUAGAUUGUUGGUUAGUGUUUGGAGAAGGGGGACUAAAAGUCCUCCCACCCGGCAGGGCGAGUGGACAACCGGUUACUUUUGAUU
rnacentral:rRNA from 1 species